rnacentral:rRNA from 2 species
AAAAGCUGAAAGUCGGUUUACGCUGACACUUACAGAUGGGCCCGCGGCGCAUUAGCUAGUUGGUGAGGUAACGGCUCACCAAGGCGACGAUGCGUAGCCGACCUGAGAGGGUGAUCGGCCACACUGGGACUGAGACACGGCCCAGACUCCUACGGGAGGCAGCAGUAGGGAAUCUUCCGCAAUGGACGAAAGUCUGACGGAGCAACGCCGCGUGAGCGAUGAAGGCCUUCGGGUCGUAAAGCUCUGUUGUUAGGGAAGAACAAGUAUCGGAGUAACUGCCGGUACCUUGACGGUACCUAACCAGAAAGCCACGG